UGGUAAUUCAGAUCCUGCUUAUUUAUACACCGGGACAUUUACUAAACCAAGAAUUGUGGUGAAUUCAACAGAGAAUUUUACAUUUUAUCCCACAUUGAAAUAAUAGUUGACUUAGACAUUGAUUUUUCAUUUUGUGUAUACUGGUCUUAAAUUACUGGUCAGUUAUUGGUUUAAUGACUAAUCUCCCCCCUAAUCUCUUUUUUUUGUGUGUAAAUUUCACCGUGAAAUUAAGAACCCAUUCCUAUUAUUUUUAUUUUGUUCUAAUCGUUUAUUCCUGGGUGGUUUCUCCGUAAUUAAAUCUGG